CUCACUGGUGAAUUCCCAGGUGACUACGGAUGGGACACUGCUGGACUCUCGGCUGAUCCAGAGACGUUUGCCAGAAACCGUGAGCUUGAGGUGAUCCACUGCCGUUGGGCCAUGCUUGGUGCUUUGGGCUGUGUCUUCCCUGAAAUCCUUUCCAAGAACGGUGUCAAAUUUGGUGAGGCUGUUUGGUUCAAAGCUGGAUCCCAAAUCUUCUCAGAAGGUGGACUUGACUACCUCGGCAACCCAAACCUUAUCCACGCCCAAAGCAUCCUCGCCAUUUGGGCCUGCCAAGUUGUUCUCAUGGGCUUUGUUGAAGGAUACAGGGUUGGUGGAGGCCCACUUGGUGAGGGUCUUGACAAGAUCUACCCAGGAGGUGCCUUUGACCCACUUGGUCUGGCUGAUGAUCCCGAGGCUUUUGCUGAAUUGAAGGUCAAGGAAAUCAAGAAUGGACGCUUGGCAAUGUUCUCCAUGUUUGGAUUCUUUGUUCAGGCCAUUGUUACUGGAAAGGGCCCAAUUGAGAACCUCUUUGACCACAUUAAUGACCCAGUCGCCAACAACGCUUGGGCUUACGCCACAAACUUUGUUCCCGGAAAGUGAAGUAAUUAGGGCUAUGUAAUCUGUAAACUUUGGGCUAAUGAAGUUUUAUGCUUGUCAAAGAUUGCCUUGUACCUUGAUGCUCUAUUUAACAUGCUCUGAUAUUUACCAACAUAUAGUAAUGUUUCUCACUGUUCUAGUUUUGUUUUUUGUACCCCUAAAUAUAAUCUUCCCUUUUAGUUAUCACAUUUUGGUUACUGAUUUGUCCACUAGCUUCCAAAGCUAGAUUAGAAACCUUCUUUCAAUAUUCUCACCAAUGGGAGUCGAUCAGAAAUGCCAUAAUGUGUUAAUAUGGUAUAUGUCAAAUUCAAAUAAAAAUAUUGAAUUUGUAUUAGUGAAAGGAUGUAUGUAGGAUUGCGAAAUAUCAUUCACUCAAUCAAAGGUCUCAGAUUUUGAACCACAAUGCAGAAUUACUUUUGAUAAAGAACAUAUUUCCCCGUGUGUUCAAGUUAAUCUAUAAAUUUUGGAUGAACCCUCUCCCUAAAAGAAGAAAGAAGAAAAUAAAUGAUUGGUUAAAUAAUCUUCUAUAACCAGUUUAAAUAGAAAAAAAAGAUUAUUAUAUAACUAAUACUAAAAACACUUAUAAUUAACGAUUCGUAAAAUGGAAGUCCCAAAUUGAUUUAGUACAUUGGUUCACUUCUCCUUUCCAUGCCUUAUCCCUGAUCAAGGGAGUAAACUAUGGCUAAAACAUUGAUGGUCCAUUCAAUUCACCUAAAAUUUUACGGUUUUGCACAAGAUAAUUUUGUAUGUGGAUGAUGUUUAGCUCAACCCAUUUAAACUCUCUCCAAGUUAUUCCAAGGAAUGUUUAUAUUUUAGACUGUUUUUUAAUUUUUGCUCUUCAACAUUUUGUGUAUUAAAAAACAGUGACUUGACAUUAACAGUGAUAAAAAGGUGACUAAAUUUUUGCCCUUCAACACUUAUAAGACAUAAGGCAUAAGAGUUCAAAACUGAUAACUUAUGUCUUACAAGACAUAAAUUUAGUUUUAGAAUCAACAAAGCUAUGUCUAAAGCUACAUAAUUUAUUCGAGUUAAUAUUUCAAAAGAUAAUUGAAUUAUUAAAAAUUAUCUGCUUUCUAUCAAAAGUAUCACUCAACUUUAAUUUUUAUUUUCUAAAAGUCACCAAACUACAUUUAUCAUUUAAAAGGAAAUAAUAUGACAAAUAACUUAUUUAUUGCCAUGUAAAUAUGGACCCUACAUUAAAAAAAAUUAUUUCUUUUCAUUUCUAUACCUCAUCCAGACUACAAUUGGAUUUUAGGACCUAAAAACAUAUUUUCCAAGCUCGAUUUACCGCUUCUUCUGAAAUUAGAGUGAAAUUAUUAUCUAUAAAUUAGUUCCUCCGUUCAUUCUUACUUAUUAUUUAUUUUUAAAAUAAAUUUUCAUUACAAUUUUUUUUUUUCUCAAAUAACCUUUAUCGUUAAUUAGUUAUUCUUCAAAUGAUUUUUCAAGAUUUCAUUCUAAACAUUAAUUAAUAAGGAUAGUGAGGUAAAAUAAUCUUGUCAAUUAUUAUUUUGUUAAUGUGUAUGUCAAGUCAAAAUAUUAUAAAUAAAAAUAAAUGAAGAAGUAUUUAUUGAUAUAAAAAAUCGAUAUGUAGCUGUUUUCCCCGGUGUUAGAGCUUAAACAUAAAUAGAACCAAGGAAAAAAUCAAAGAAAUGACAACAACUUGAGUCUUGUCCUUGUCACAUUUGGUUCCAUCAGAAAUUUUCUGAAAGAGAGAUUUUAUAAGAAAAAAAAAAAUUAGAGCUUAAGAAAUUGAACAAAGAGAUAACAUCAAUAUGGAUCGUUUUCUUUUUUUUGCUAUGAUUAAAUUUUUAUAUUCUUAGUUAGAGGUUCAAAUUUUUUAUCAAAGGUAUUGCCAUGAUAAAUAAGCUCUAUAAUAUCUGAAUAUCGUGAAUUUAAAUAUAAUCAAUUUUUUAAUACGAAAUUGACACCAAGUUAAAAAAAAAAAAAAAAACACAACGAAAUAAUAAUGAGAAGGCUUGGGAAAUAGAAAUGAAAAUGAAUAGAUUUUUUUAAUAUGAGGUCCAUAUUUAGUUAUUUACAUGACAUAAAUAAAUAAUUUAUUUUGUCAUGUCAGUUUUCUUUAAAUGAUAAAUGUAGUUUAGUGACAUUAUUAGAAAAUGAAAACCUUAAGUUAAGUAGAACUUUUGAUUAAAAAAACAAGGUUAAAUGAUUUUGCAAGAUAAUUUUCAAUAAUUCAAUCACUUUUUGAGAUAUUAAUUCUAAUUUAUUCUUACAAAACUUAUAUCGGACAAGUAAAAAUUCUUUAAACCUUUGUCUUGCAAAGCUAGGUCGUAGUUAAGGAUACUUUGACCCACAAACUUAUAUUAAAUGAAAAGGACAAAAAUUAAAGAUCCUUAAUUUGAAGGACAAAAUAAAAGACCACUUUAAAAUAGAGGCAAUUUGUGCAAAAACAUUCUCAAAUUUUUUCAAAUACUAACAGUCUAGCUUAUUUUUAAUAUUUACCGUUUAGGGUUUACUUUGAUUUUUUUUUCAACACACGCUUGAUAUGAAGGAAAAUCAAGAAAAUAUUUUACCAAAAAAUAAGUGUAUUUUUUUUUUACUAAUAUUCUAAUGUUUUAAUUAGUAAGGAGAAAACAUUAUCCCAAAAGCAUUUUGAUAAAACCCUGGCAUUAUUAUGGCACCUGUCCCAACUAACACUAGACUGACUCUAACCCUACCCGAAACUCAAACCUUGAUUGACUCUAACUCGAGACCCAAUCUCGAUCAGAGACUUAACCCCCAUUUGACCCCAAACCAAGACCAAUUCCAAUCAGAGACUUAACCCCCACGCGAUCAUGAACUCAGAACUAAUCUCGACACAUGACUCGAUCCUCGACCCUCAUAUUAGAAUUGACUCGUUAUUAGAUCUUCCACAAAACCUGACCUUGACUCGGGAAUCGACCCUAGCCCCACCUUGACUCUGACGUGAGUUGGGGAUAGGUCUCGAGGUGGGAUUUGGGUCCCGAUUCAAGGUCGGAUUGUCGGUCUCGUAUUCCUGUUCCAGGCCAAUGUUUGGGGCUCAGGUCUCGGGUCCGUCUCCCAGAUCCUUAUCUGUCUCCACCAAAUUUAAGGUGUGUUUGGUAUGAUGGAAAUAUUUUCUAGAAAAUAUUUUUUCAUUUUUCCUUGUUUGGUUAUAAAGAAAUAUUGAGAAAAUAUUUUUCAAAGUGACUUAUUUUCCUUCAUUUGAGGGAAAAUGACUUCCCUGAUAAGCCAAGGGAAGUCAUUUUUCAGAUAAAAAAGUUUGAGACACUUAUAUGCUUAUACCCCCACCCUUCUCCCACCCCUUUUCUCCACCCCAACAAAAUCGAAGUCACACCCACAACCAUAUCACCGUCGUCUCCAAUUUUAGGGUUUUCUCCCCCUCCCCCCUCUUCUCUCCACUGUAAGAAUUUUAAAGGUAUGUCCUUAACUAAUUUCUUUUAUGGUGCUUGGUCAAAAUUUUCUUUAAUUUUUCUCUUUUACUUGUUUGGGUUUCUGAUUUGAGUCCAAUUUUAUUCAAAAAUUGAAAUUUAAAUUUCUGAUUUGAGUUCAAUUUUGCUUAAAAAUUAAAAUUUGGGUUUAACUUAUCUAUGAAAAUUGACAAUUUAUUAUGAAUUAGUUGAGCGAUUAGCAUUAGACUGAAGCUAUAUGAGUAUCUUAGUUAUAAUAAUUGACGCCAAUUUUAUGAAGUUGACUUGGGAGUAUUUUCAGUAACAAUAUUGUUUCCCAAAGAUGUUGUGUCAAUGUUAUCGAAUUCGGACUAAUAAAAUCUCCUAGAUCUUGAUUACAUUUAUGGUAAGUUGUGUUUUAUUUGUUUUAAUUUCAUUUAGGAAAUUACCGGAGCUUUAGAGGUAUUAAUUUGUGAUUUAUUCCUCCAAAAUUAUAACUGAUUCCUAAUACUGAUAAAAAAAAUAUUUAUAACAAAGUUUAAGAUAUUUUAAUUUUGAAUGUAACAAAUCAUCUGGAUUAUAAGUGUUGUGUGCAUUUAUUUAUAGUUGAUUGAUAUUCCUAACAUUCCGUUAACUAUCUUGGUAGAAUUCAGUGCGUAGAGUUUUUGAUGUAAUCCAUAUCUUUAGUAGACUAUCUUAUUUGAAAUUUGAUUGUAAGUUAAUUCGUUGAGGGGCAAAAGAAAGCAAUGAAAUGAAAUGAAAUGUCCUAGAUACUCCAAAUGUGGUCUUCAGAUAGCAGUGUCCUAGAAAGUUGAAUGUUGAUAAAUUCUUUUGCAGUUCGAUGUUAGAUCUUAGUUACUUGUUUAUCUCUAGCUUUUUUUGUAUCUUCCAUCCUAAAUUUUCAAGCCAUGAACACUUUGGAUGUUAGUGCUAGUCAUCUUAUUCAUUCAUGAUAUGCACGGCGUCCUAAUAUUAGUUCUUGCUGCCUAACGCAAAAUAUAUGCCUUACUUCUGAUUGUAUAUUUGCACCACAUCCCACAUGCUGCAGGCAUUUUGAUUGUGAAAUGCUUUAUGCUGUUGAGUGGCAUGCAUUCACUUUCUAAGACCUAAUAUCUCAAUAUGGGGGUAGGGUGUAACAAAGAGAUGAAACGUCUUUGUUUUCAUCUUAACUGUUGCUUCAAAAGUUAGUAUGCUUGGUCUUUUCUAACUUUGGUUGGGGUAAGAUAUGGUGUUUUUAAUCUCCAGUUUUCAGAUAAUACUAUAUUUUUCUCUUAAACCAAGUGUUAUAAUUCAAUUGUAUGCUUUUUGAUAAUUUGAAUUUUGAACUUAGAUUGCUUUAUUUUGAGCCGGAGUCUAUCGGAAAUAGCCUUUCUAUCUCACAUUUGAGGUAGUAGUAUGGACUGCGUACACUUGCCCUCCCCAUACCCCACUUGGUGGGAAUAUACUGGGUAUGUUGUUGUUGUUGUUUUAUAUAGUAAACGAAAUGUAACGAAAUUACAUUGGUCACUACAACAGAUGGGUUCGACUAACCAAGAUGAAGAUGAUGCAAUAAUUGGAGCUGCGGCUACAUCUGUUUUAGCUUUCGGAGUUGCAAUAAUUGUUGCCUACGAACAUAAAAGUAGCAUUCCUAGAGAACCAUAUGUUAAUAAAGAUCAAGAAAGAGAAUUUUACAUGAAUAGUAUUUUAAAUGGAAGUCAUAUUCAUUGUGUAGGUCAGAUAAGAAUGAGUAAGCAUGCAUUUUAUGAACUAUGCAAUGCUCUUAGAAGGAAUAGUUUCUUAUGUUUAAUCAAAAAUAUAUCUGUUCAAGAAAAAGUGUUGAUAUUUUUAGAGAUUGUUGGUUUUAAUAAACGAUUUUGGAAGAUUGGAUCACACUUUUAUAGGUCAAUCGAGUCUAUUCAUCGAUGCUUUCACACUAUGCUUCAAGUAGUUUUGAAGCUCUAUCCAAUCCUUAUAAAAUCACAGGAUGGAACCAUCCAACUGGAGAUAAUGAACAACCAUUGGUAUUAUCCCUGAUUACCGUAACUGACAUAUUAAAAUUUUAUAUUUUAAGUCAUUUUAUUAAAAAUACUACAUAUUAUUAACUUAAGUUGUAUAUAAGAUUGUGUAAGAGCAAUAGAUGAAAUACAUAUGCUUGCAUCUGUUCCUAUUGAACAACAAAAUAGAUUUCGUGGUCGAAAAGACACAACAACACAAAAUGUAUUAGCUGCCAUUAACUUUAAUUUGAAGUUCACGUAUGUGCUUACUGGUUGAGAAGGAUCUGCACAUGAUUCUCGCAUAUUAAAUGAUGCAUUGGAGAGACCACAUGGUCUCCAAAUCCCACAAGGUAUUUUAUUUAACAUAAAGUAGGUUAUAUGAAAAGUAGGUGAACAAUGUAAAUAGUACCUUGUAGAUGCGGGAUAUAGACUUUGUAAAGGAUUUAUUCCUCCUUAUCAUGGUAUACACUAUCACUUGCAAGAGUAUAGUGAUUGUCCUCUCCAAAAUGAAAAAGAACUAUUCAAUCUUCAUCAUGCAUUAUUGAGAUCCUCGAUUGAACGUGCUUUUGCUAUUCUAAAGAGACGAUUUCGUGUGAUUGACAAUGAACCUUUUUGGGACUUUAAGACAUAAGUGAAUAUGGUAUUAGCGUCGCACAUUUUACAUAAUCACAUAGUUGAUUUGGAGACAAAUGACAUGAUAAUACAAGAAGUAGAUGUUGAAGCAGUAAUUCAACCUCAAAAUGUUCAAAUUACUCAAAAUUCUCAAGGAAGUCAAAGCUAUCAAACACAAAGAUAAAGGCGUGAAGAAGCUAGACAAUGAUCAUAAAAAAGAGAUGCAAUUGCUCAUGCCAUGUUUAUAAAUUAUGUAGCUAUCAAACACAAAGAUAAAGGCGUGAAGAAGCUAGACAAUGAUCAUCAAAAAGAGAUGCAAUUGCUCAUGCCAUGUUUAUAAAUUAUGAAAGGCGGAGGAAUAAGGGACUUUUGUGUAUUAAGAAACUUUGAUAGCUAAAUAGAUAAUGCUGCUUGUUUUUGCUUUUGAUAUUUUCUUAUUCUUUUCAUCUUGUUGUAGUAGUUGGGCAGAUCCUGUAUGAAAGAAAUACUCCUAUGGCUCAUUAUUGUUUUUCUAUUAACUUUAAGAGUUCUUUUUACUGCUCUUUUUCUUUAGUAUAGGUAGAGUUCACAGGUUUCUGCUAAUUUGUAUUUGUGUUCUAUUGAGUAUGAAUUAUUCAUGUAGUUUCUUGAUUUGUAACAGUAAAUUAUGGGGGGGAAGGAGAGAAGCAGUUUAGGUGGUCAAAAUCAAUGGAAUAUUUGAUGUUGGAGAUUCUAGCUGAUGAAGUAAAGCAAGGGAAUAAAUUGACAAAUCAGUUUAAGGCCAGCUCGUUUAAUCGUGUUUCAAAUGUCAUUAACGAAUAAAUAGGAAUGGAUUGUUCAUCUAAGCAUGUGGAGAAUCAUCUUAAAACCGUGGCGAGCUAACGAUUAUUUUCUUGCUUUUCUUCUUUGUUUUACUUGGAACUGGUAGCUUUUUUGAAGAAUCUGAUUGGUUAUGUUUUACCUGAAACUGGUAUAUUUUAGUUUUUAAUGGUUAUGUUUACUGCUUGCUUAGUAAGAAUGAGUUAAGACUGGGUUGGCGUUGUUAUGGUUCGAUUAUUCAUAAUGGCGUUUAGGAGAAUAUGAUUACAUGGUCUUUAAUUGCUCUGAUGCUUUGUAAAGAUAAGAAAUUUGAGCAAAUUGUUCGUAUUCUAGACAAGAGGGUCUGUAGUCCUGUUAUGUAUAAUCUACUUAUACACAGUUACUCCAAGAUAGGAGAUUUUGAAGCUGCAUUUGGUUAUUUAAAUGAUAUGUGUAGGAAAUGUAUUGAUCCUACCUUUAGUACUUUUAGCUCAAUUCUUGAUGGUGCUUACAAAUAUCAAAAUGUGGCGAGCUAACGAUUAUUUCCUUGCUUUUCUUCUUUGUUUUACUUGGAACUGGUAGCUUUUUUGAAGAAUCUGAUUGGUUAUGUUUUACCUGAAACUGGUAUAUUUUAGUUUUUUAUGGUUAUGUUUACUGCUUGCUUAGUAAGAAUGAGUUAAGACUGGGUUGGUGUUGUUAUGGUUCGAUUAUUCAUAAUGGGGUUCAGGAGAAUAUGAUUACAUGGUCUUUAAUUGCUCUGAUGCUUUGUAAAGAUAAGAAAUUUGAGCAAAUUGUUCGUAUUCUAGACAAGAGGGUCUGUAGUCCUGUUAUGUAUAAUCUACUUAUACACAGUUACUCCAAGAUAGGAGAUUUUGAAGCUGCAUUUGGUUAUUUAAAUGAUAUGUGUAGGAAAUGUAUUGAUCCUACCUUUAGUACUUUUAGCUCAAUUCUUGAUGGUGCUUACAAAUAUCAAAAGAGGUGAUUGAAUCGGUGAUGAGCUCCAUGGUGGCAAAAGUAAAAGAAUAUCUCCCAAAAAAUGUGGCACCAGACUAUGAUUCUGUGAUUUGGAAGUUUUCUAAUAUGGGACAAUAUAUGCAGCUGAGUUGUUUUUCAAUAAGGCUUCAGAUAAAAGGAUUAAACUACAACACAAUAUAUGUAGUUGGUGUAUGUGUGAAAUGUUUACUCUAACUUUAUAAUGUUCAUGAUUGAUAAUAGAAUACAAAUUUCUUGUAACAGAGUGUACCUACUUUUCACUUUGUGAACACGGAGCAAAAAUUCUUUGUUUUCCUGGUGCCUAAAUAUGUAUAAGAACCAUGCAGUGCAAUUGUACUUUAUAUAUACAGCAUGAGAACAUUGGUUCUUCUUCCUGCACCCGUGUCAUAUGGAUACUUAACUAUAGUUCAAAUCAGUGAUUGUUUUUCGAUUGUUGAAUUUCAGCGAUAAGCCUAAAAUUUAGGUUCUGCUCUCCCUGAAAUAGAAAAUAGAAUUUUGUGCAAAUCGUUAUGCCAAGUUUUUCUCUUUUCUUUAGUGUUUUGUAAAGAACAAGGAGUUCAUAACAGAAAAAGCUUAAAUCGUUAAUUUCUACUGUGCAUAUGUUAAGAAUUCUUACCAUUCUUUUAAAAAGAUUUUAAUCCUAAUGCUACUUUCUGUGGGUGGAUAAUUGUGAAUAAUCUUUCAUACUAUUGGAUAGUGUACAGUCUGAUCCAUCAUAUAGAUAUGGGGAACUGAUUGUGCGGUAUAUUGGUAUGUAUAUUUACCAUCCAACUAGUUUUCAGGAGAAGAAGUUGGUCAAUUCUUGUAUUACUAUUUAUAUGUGUUGAGUUCCUUUAUAUUUUCAUCAAUCAAUACAAUGAAUAAGACAGGGAUACCGGUGUUAGUUUAUUUUACAUACUGUACUAGUCUAUGUUAGUUUAUUUUGCAUACUGUACUAGUCUAUAAACAUUUAUGUUUUAUGAUUUUCUAUACUGUUAUCGGUCCUAAGCUGGGGUCUAUCGAAAACAGUCUCUCUACUUAUUCGGAGGUAGUGGUAUGGUCUGCGUACGCUCUACUCUCCCUAGACCCCACUAUGUGGGAAUACACUAGGUAUGUUGUUGUUGUGUUGUUGUCUUUGGUGCGACACUAUUGCUUUAGCAGUAGGAUUGAUGGGCGUUGCGAUCUGCAAUUUGCAUUGUGUCUUAUUACACUGAUACGUUACUAACAAUUAGUUAUUGUACUUGUAACGGUCUGUUUAUGUUACAUUAACAUAUUAGAACCAAAUAAAUUUGAUACCAAAUUUUCUCUAAUAUUUGUAUUGCAGGCACAUCCCAAUCAUGAUAAGUUCAUCAACAAAAAAAUUGAAAUAUUUGACAAAAUAUCUCUUGUGUGUGAAAAUGAUCGGGCUAGGGGAGAUUGUGCUAAAUCAUUUGAAGAUAUAGAUUUUGAUAAUUUUUCUGAGAAAGAUAAUGAUAAUGAACUUGAAGGACCAUCUAUCGAAAAGGAUGUACAAGUAACUGAAGUUUCUCAAAUCAAGGCAAGUCGCAAAAGAAAACAUUCUUUUGAGGCGCACGAUGUCCCAGGUGAUAUAUCAAUAAAGUUUGGAGAAGUGACAACGGCAAUUGGUAGAAUGGUUGAUAGUCGUCUAGAUGUGACAAAGUUGUAUGAAGAAGUUAUGGCAAUAGAAGGUUAUAAUGAAGAGUUCCUCGGUGAUGCUUUUGAUUAUUGUGCAAAGCGACACUUUAGCUAAGGCAUUCAUGAUCAAAAAUCAAAAUCUUCGUAAAGUGUGGUUGGAACGAUUCAAGCAACAACAAUAGUGACACCUAUUGGUUGGUUUAGCUUUAUAGGAUUUGGAAGCAACUAUUAGUUGUACGCUUUUAUUUUUGAUAAUGUAUCGUGUAUUUGCUUUCAAACUUCUCUCUUUUCUUUUGUUUUUGAUAAUGUAUCGUGUAUUUGCUUCCAAACUUCUCUCUUUUGUGCAUUUGUGGGAAUUGAUUAGGAAGCUUGAAUUAUGUAAGUAAUAGUUUAGCGUCUUAUAAUAUUUUGAUACUCGAUAUUGGUAUUAUUUGCUAUGCUUAAAUUAGUUCCAAAAGAAUAUUGAGUUGUCUGAUAUACUAGUUAAUUGUUUAGUAGUAUUUUUCAAAAAAUAUUUUUUUCUCUAACCAAUCAAAAAACUAAAAACAUUUUUUAGAAAAAUAUUUUCUAUUCACCAACCAAACACCAUAAAAUAUUUUUUGAAAAAUAUUUUUCACCCUCCAACCAAACAUGAGAAAAUAAGUAGAAAAUCAACUUAUUUUCUAUAAAAACUGUUAAGAUCGAAAAAAUCACGUGUCAUACGAAAAUUAGCAAAACAAACCUCGAAAGACGCCACGUAAGAAGAUAAACGAGAAAUACACUAAAAGAGACACAAGAAUUUAACGUGGUUCGGUCAAUCGACCUACAUCCACAAAAGGAGAUGAGCAAUUCACUAUAUAAAAGAGAGUACAAACUGUCAANNNNNNNNNNNNNNNNNNNNNNNNNNNNNNNNNNNNNNNNNNNNNNNNNNNNNNNNNNNNNNNNNNNNNNNNNNNNNNNNNNNNNNNNNNNNNNNNNNNNNNNNNNNNNNNNNNNNNNNNNNNNNNNNNNNNNNNNNNNNNNNNNNNNNNNNNNNNNNNNNNNNNNNNNNNNNNNNNNNNNNNNNNNAUGGUAAGAAAGUCAGGACAAACACCAACAAUUCUCCCCCUUGACCUGAAUUUCUGAUAAAAUAAAUUUGAUCCACCUUCUUCAUAUAGUCUUCAUCAAAUUCAAUCUCCAUCUCUAAAAUUUCCUCCAUUAAAUUUUUGUCUCUACACAGAGUAACACUCUGAUAAAAUUUCUCAAACCAAAAUCUUCAUUAUCGUCAAAUAGGUUGCGACUAAAACUGAAUCCGCCAAGAUGAACACCCGAUUUAACCUCGCUUUGAUACCACUUGUUAGGACCGAAAUAAUCAGGUGUCAUGUGGAAACUAGCAAAACAAACCUCGAAAGACGCCACAUAAGAAGAUAAACUAGAAAUACAUUAAAAGAGACACAAGAAUUUAACGUGGUUCGAUCAAUCGACCUACAUCCACAAAAGGAGAUGAGCAAUUCACUAUAUAAAAGAGAGUACAAACUGUCAAGAGAGAUAACCUCACACAAUUCACUCAGAAUAAAAAGAGGUUCACACAAGUGAUACUGCAACACUUGUGUCUCACAAAGUCUCCCCAAACGAAACUCUCAAACCCCUAGAUCUACAUUGUGGAUGCUAAUAAACUAGAAGAAAGGUGUCUCUAUUUAUAGAGUCUAUAACUUUUUCAUAUAAGAAUAAGGAUUAGCCAAAUAUGAAGAAUUUAGGUUUUCCUUUUCCUAAAGGAAAACUCAAUUAUGGUACCUAAAGAAAAAUCCAAUUAUGAUAAGAAAGUCCGGACAAACACCAACAAAAAUAUUUUUCAUAAAAAUAUUUUCCAUGAAAAACAUUUCCUAUCAUACCAAACACACCCUUAAGUGAAAAAGAAAAUAGUAGUGACAUUUAUUAUACAGAACAUAAACCCCAAAUAUGUUAUCCAUUAUAUUGGUGGGGAUAAGAGAGAGCCAUGCUUUUCCACAUAACAUCAUCUCGUUAUAUUUGCUCAGCUGAGCCAUACAUUGACUCCAUUUAGCAGAAAAAAGAGGAAAAAUGUUUGAACACAUAACAGCAAGUGAAAUAGCAGGAUUUGGAGUGGGUGGUUUACUACUUGCCGCCACUGUUUAUGCUCCCAAAAUUGAUUCCUUCAUCUCUAUUUCUCAGCGCAGGUACUAUCCACCCAUCACUACUUAUCCAUAUAAACACCUGAAUGACUUAGGAUUUGAGUAAAUUAAUACUGUACUGCAUAUAUAAGGAUUGAAUUGUUACACAUCAUCAGAAACUUUUGGCUUCGAAUAGGACCAGUUUUAUCAUGUUACUAACUAAUACUACUCCAAUUACCUUAUGUGUGGAUUAACUACACGUCAUUCUGUUGCACACAAAAGACUACUAUUACCUCUGUGUCAAUUUAAGUGUCUUGGAUUGACUAAACACAAAGUUUAACACUUUUGGAUCAUAUAGUCUUAAAUUAAAGGUGUAUGUAGUAUUUUAAAUAUUGUGGUUUUAAACUUGCGUGUUAGGAUGUUGGAAUGAGAAAACUUACUGAAUAUAGAAAGAGACACUCUUUAAAAACAUACGAAAAAAGGAAAGAAAGACAGUUAAAUUGGUAUGGAGGGAAUAGUAUUUGAGGGAAGGAGGAUAGAGGGACAGAUCAAUUAUUCAUCGGGUUUCGAACUGUGUGACACUGCCUCUGGAAUUUCUCGGUUAUAAAAGAAAUUACCUUAUAAGUGAUCUGAAUAUUAGUGUAUACAACUUGAACUCACCGAAUUAUAGUUCAUAGCUCUUAUUUGAUCAUCAAGAACCUAACUGCUUUUUGUUUUACUUACAUAAUGCAUGGAGUAUUAGUCUUUUUAGAGAAAGGGGGGGUACACUGUUUUGCUGCAUUUUUUUUCUUCCUAUGAACAGUUCACUGGGGAUGUGCAAAAGAUGUGGAGAUUUGAGACUCAUAGCAUGUUCAAGCUGCAAGGGAACUGGUACUAUUAAAGGAGGACCUUUCAGUUCCAUUCUUUUGGAGGACAAAUCAAAAGUAGGAUCGUCUUCUUGCACUAAAUGUCGAGCUAGAGGACACUUUCAAUGCCCCGAGUGUUCUAACCUUAGUCAGGCUUGAUCUACUUUACAUCAUACAAAGCUUAUGAUGCUUCUUGAAAAGUUUCUUCUUUACUAUAUAGACGAUAAAUGAUGCUUCUGUAGUAAAAUCUGUUGAGAUUUGAUCAUACACAAAACUUAUACUGUCAGCUUGCAUGAUGGAGAGGCGGCAACUUUGCCCCGUGUUGUAAUGCUUACAAGAUAAUUGCAGUUGAGUCCUGGAAAUUUUUACCAUUAAGUGAAAUUUCAGUGUGCCGUGAUUCUUCUGAUAUUCUGAAACCAUAUAACGAAUAAGGCAUCAGUGCAGUUACUUACUAGUAGGUUUAUUGGUUCACAGAUAAAAUAUACACGGAUUAUAAUGUAGGAUUUGGUUCUUUAUUAUAGAAUCUGGAUGUACAGUGUAUUGAAUUCGACAUAAAUAACAGAGAGAAAUAAAAAACCUGACUAAUAAUGCAGAGUUUAAUACCUCACCCAGCAAAUGAUCAAACCACAUUUACAGUAGAAAAGGGAUACCCGUAUACAUUGUUUUCCUGAUAGGAGUAAUGAGAAAGGAGGCUUGAUUAUCAAAUGUUUUUACCAGAAGAUCAGCGCUUGAAUUCACCAAUAAUCUGCAUGAACAUGACCCCAAUUCUUGAAAUGAUGAAAACAACUGUUUUUUUCUCUUACAACUAUCUCACUCUCCUGGAUUUUAGAUGAUAGUUUCAUAACUCCAUGGCGAUCAUUGGAAACACUGAGGCUUUUAACUAUGUGAGUUGGAGUUCCAGGCUUAACAUUAAUCAGACCGAAAGCAACACCCAACCUCUCACUGGGAUUCUCCAACUCAGCUUCCUAUUCCUUCUCCCCUUCCAAUGUACAACAGAACUUUGCUUGUGUCUGCUACAUGUUCCGCGCACCUCAAUUAGGCUUAACAUUAAUCAGACUGAAAGCAACACCCAACCUCUCACUGGGAUUCUCCAACUCAGCUUCCUAUUCCUUCUCCCCUUCCAAUGUACAACAGAACUUUGCUUGUGUCUGCUACAUGUUCCGCGCACCUCAAUUUCUCCUUCAUCUCUUUGAGCUUGACGUAUAUUUCCUCAUUAUUAAGAUGUGAUUUAUCACAUACCAUGAAAUCAUGAAGCAAACCUUUAAUUUUUGUGCUCCAUUGAGCUUUGUCUUAUCUGUGAAAUUUUGCUCCAUUGUCCUGUUACAACAUACAUACUUGAAACGAGAAUAUAAGACAGUUGUUUCUGCACUAAUUUGAUGCCCAUUUCGGCCAAGAAUGGCAAUCAAACAACCAUAAUGUUCAACUGUUGGUUCAAGCCCAUAUUCAGUUUUCAUCAUAUAUUAAGUGUCAUUGCCAUCAAAUACCCCACCCACCCCACCCUCUUCUUAGGUAUAGCUCGAAAAAAUUUUCUCGCAUUUUUCAAUCAACACUGUACUCAGUAAACCAUGUAGUUUAUAUUCUUGGCUAUUUCAGAACGCAGCCCACCUGCCUUUAUUGAGUUGGCAAUCCUGGAAGUGCAGUAAGAAAUUAGGCUUAAGACCCAAUAUCAGCAUGCAGAAUCAAGCCCAUUUGUUUUCAUGUGUGAUUGAACAACACAUAUCGGAAUAUCACUACAUACCCGACACUAUCACUGAAUUUCCCAUCUUCUCGUUCACUACAUACCCAACUAACAUUGAAUGCCAAAUACCUAUUAAUCAUGGCAUUCCAAGAAGUCAUUUUUCUUACCUGGCAUUUUAUCAAAAAAAAUUUGCCAAUGCAAUUCUCCCACUUUCUAACAAGCCAUCUAUCAAAACGAUCUCCAAGAAAAAGCAUCCUUCUCAUCAUUUCAUGAACAAUGCUAUUGCGGCCUCAAAGAAUUCGAAGGAACCACAUUUUAUUACCACGUUUGGAGUACACGCUAAUCAAACUGCUCUCCACAUGUCUGUCUAGUCAGAACCUGAUAUGCAAAGCCAACCCAACAACAACAACAUCCAGUUGUAAAGCCAACCCAUGAAUCAUUUAUAACAUUGUUUGUGAUCAAAUAUAUUAAGAGAAUUUUAAGUGCAACAUAGAAUGCUUACUUGGUUUGGUUAUUAAUGAGAUUAUUCCUUCCUGAGAAGGUGGUGUAGAUUAGAAUCUACAACUAUUUAGAUAAAAGAAAGCCAUUUACACUUUCUAUUCCUUCUGUGUUCUGCAUAAUCAGAAGCCCCAGAUUGAAUACUAAGUAAUAGUAGUAAAUAUCAAGGAACUUCUCAAGUUACUCAACAUAUAAUUUACAUUGCACAUUCCUUCCUAUUCUAACCUAAUAUUUUAACGUAAAAUUACAUUGCAUUUUGUGGCUGUUUGAUAUUCUCACAAUUCUUUAGCAAAUCGGUAUACCCAUCAGCUGAAGCUAUGGCAAACUCUGUGAGUGAGCUAAGAGCAACUGACAUUCCUGCACAUAGUACUCUAAUGGCGACCUCCGCCAUCUUUUCUGCUGUCAUUAUUUCCUCAUCAAGCUGUCCAACUUCCACAAUCUCCAUCUUCCCAACAGAUUCUCCACCAUGACUCUUUGACCCACCAGGAGUCCGGCGGGAAUCUUCCUUUAGUUGUUGUGCGUAGAGUGAGCCUACUCCUGCUGCGAAAAAAUCCAGUCCUUCAAGCACUGGUGUCUCCCGGACGGAAUCUAACAACCUGGACCAUUGGAUGCAAAUGCUGAAUAUUGGUGGAGCUCCUGUUGGACGACGAGGAGAGAAGGGAAAUUUUGAUGCAUCAGAAUCUGAACGAGCACAGCGUAAAAGCCAGCUUGCUAAAGCAUGCAAGUAUGAUCGCUGAGAAACGAUCCAUGACUCGAAACAGGCUCUCCAAUUUCUGAGUUCCAUCUCAAGGUUAGCAGCAGAACGGGCAAGCCUGUGAGGUUCAGAAGGUGACAUGACUGUGUACUUCCUUAUCCCAGACUUCUUCGAAGGUGUGCCAGCUAGUAAGAGCUUGGCUUCAUCUAGAGUACGCUUCUGCAUUUGGUGGCACUCUGUCAUAACCUUCCACAUUUUUCCUAACCUGUUGUUGCCAUCAAGAGGGCUAUAUCGUAAGUUUUUAGUACAUUGCAGUAAAUAACAGUUUAUGAUGGAUAGCAGGAAAAACCUCACUUCGAAUCAUUUUAGCAACUAGUUACAUUGAUGUCAAACUAUAGCUCCAAUAAUUGACUAACAAAAACAAAUUGAGAAAGCUGUGUGUGACCCCAAUCAUAGACCCUUGGGAUCCGACCCCUACCUAGGACCCGACUCCUCUCCCUCCUAACCCAGGACCCAAAUGCCAACCCCGAGUCUCAACUCUCGAUCCCGAUCUGGAGCUGACUCCUGACCUUGACUCAAGACCCAACUCCCAACUUGGGACUCGACUUCCGACAUUGACUCGAGACCUGACUCCCGACCUUGACCUGGACACGACUCCUUAACCGGACCCCGACCCCAACUUGGGACCGAACUCCUAACCACGUCCUAGGACCCGACUCCUGACAUGACCUCAAUCCAAACCAGGGACUCGACUCUCGAAUCCCGACCCCAACUCCCAACCUCAAAAACCCCACCUUCGGACAUGAAUCCUAACUCCAACCCCCACACCGUACUCGAUUAUCGAUCCUAACUCCGGCCCAAGUCACAAAUUGCAACCUAAACUCUUGAGUUCAGCUCUCAAUUUCGAACCUGGACUCUCUCGACCCCGACUCCUGACCUCAUCCUUAGAGACUCAAUUAGGGAUCCAACUCUCGACCCCAACCCUAGACCCACCACCUUGGGAUUCGACCUCCUGACCUAGGACCUAAGAAUCCCAACCUCGAGUCUCAACUCUCGACCUCAACCCAGAAGCUGACUCCUUAACCUAGGACCCGACUUUGGACCCUGACACAGGUCCCCAACUCCGGACUCGAACCUAAGACUCGACUACCAACUCAGGACUAACUCCCCACCUUGACCUCAAAUUGGACUCGGCUCCUCACCUAAACCCCAACUCCGACUUGGAAACAGACUCUUAGCCCCCACCAAGGACCCAACUCUUAACUUGAACUUAAUCUUGACCAAGGACUCGACUCCCCAACCUAAACUGUAACCCAACUCCCAACCUCGACCUGGGACCCGAUCCUAACUUCGUCCUUGACACCGAUUGUCAAUCUUGACUUAGGACCCGACUCUCGACCCUAACCUUGACUAGGCCCGAGACCCGUCUCUCAACCUCGACACAACUCUGAUCCUGGCCAACUUUGACUCCCGGCCGUUCGAGACUCGACUUCCAACCACUUAUUUUUCAAGCAAAAUAUUUUUAGGAAAACAUCUUCCGAGGAAAAUAUUUUCCUUCAAACCAACCAUGCCCUAAAAAGAGAAAAAGAAGAAGAAAUUGCUUACCUUAAAAAGAAGCAAUGGACAAUAUAGAUUGGUUUACCCAUUUUUAUCCAUAUAUGAGCAGGUCGGAUAUUUUAUCCAUUUUCACAUGACUAUUUUGUAUCCGCCCAUUAUCCGACUCGUACCUCGCGUUUGCCCACCCCUAUAGACAGCUAAGAGCAACUUAGAAUUAAUAGAUGGAGCUCUUUGUUGUUCCCUUGUCUUAUACUAAAAAACUGACAUAAUGAUCUAUGAUAGUAACUUGUUAACAAUGUAAAAUGCUUUACCUGUUUUUUUCAAUAGAGAAAUCAAUGUAAAAUGUCUUACUUGAUUCUAUCAUUAAAGGAACUUCCCAAGUUUUCUUUUAAAUCUUUUUCGGUAACAUAUAUAUACAAUUAUGUGAGUACGUACAGCAUAGAUAGUACAUAUGUACAGAUAUGGGUCCAGCGUCAAGAACAUGACAGUUUGAGCAAAUUAACAUGGCAUUGGAAUGGUUGGUUAGUACAGGGAGUUUAAAAAUAGCAAGAGGGAUAUCAUAUACAUACCCUUGCACUAACUCUAAAAGCUGAGGCUGCAAUUCUUCAUCCCUUAAAGUUUCAAUCCUUCUUGAGAUAGAUUCAACAGAGUGGAUUGAAACCUUUAUCUGGGUAUCCAGAUUCCUAAUGGCUGCUCUUAUUUUAUCCACAGAUGAAGGAUCCGCUCCACUCACAUCUAGAUUCCUGAGUUGAGCCAACUUUUUCUCAUACGCUAACCGGAUCCGCUCACCUGCCUGUCAAACAUUAUGAUAGUGAAUAACUCAUGUUCAGAUCAACAUCUUAGAGUAAUUACGUUAACAGGAUAAUGACACUUAGAGAAACAUGCUUGGAGGUCAGAUUAACAUGAUCAAAGAAAUUCUAAUUUAGCCAUAAUUUCACGUUAUCCAUAAUUUCCUGUUAUUUCUGGAAUGAACGAUGAUAAUUAUCACUCUUGCUCAAGAGUCAUAUUCAUUCAUUCUACUUCUCAACAGGUCUUAAACAAAUGGAAUUCAUGCAUCCCUAUCAUUCUAUAUGUACAAGUGUGCGUUGCAUUUUCCUGCUAUUUCUGGAAUGAACAGUGAUAAUUAUUCUUCUUGCUCAAGAGUCAUAUUCAAAUUCUUCUUUUUCCAAUAGGUUAGAGUCUCAUCCUAUUUUUAGACAGAAACUAGUCAAAAUUGAUUUAUAUCUUAAAUUUUAUUUUAGCAGCAGAAACAUACCCUGACUUCCUCAUAUAGUUUUUUCUCCCAGGCAUAUAAUCUAUCCAAGGUUGAUUGAUGACUGCUUGAUAACAUGCUAGAUUCAUCGGAUAAGUCACUACUGCUCUGAUAACCCUCAUCUCUUAAAGUUGAAGGAUUGAUCAAAAAUCUCGACGAGGAUGAUCUUGAUGACCCUGAGCGAAAUAGAGCUACUGGAUUCAACAUUUUCAUUGCUGCAAAUAAAAUAAGCAGAUUAGCAUCCAAACAUAAAUACUUCAUAACUUUGACCAAAUAACAAUUAGAAAUAUAAGUAUGGGCUAAUUUGUUUUAACAGAAAAAAUGGGCACUGCUUCUAGUAAUGUCGACUUCUAUAUCGUUUGCGCGAGAAAAUGGCAUAAAGAAACUUCUAUAGAAAGCACAUCAAUUCGGAAUAACGUUGAGCUUCAAAGUGAAAAAGAAAUUCUUGUUAUUAGAUUGUUCCUGCACAAAGAAACUCGGUUUCUUCUAACAAUGCGACUGUAUACUUUUCUACUGAAGCUUGCCCAUUUCUCCCGGAAUAUAUCAGUUACUUUUGGCAAGAGACCUUAAAGAGAACUCCAGAUUAGAAGCAAUAGAAAAACUAGCAUUUUCCAUGCUACUAGGAAACCUGCAAGGACCUAAAACUCCUGGAUCUUGAACAUCUAAAAUAAUGUGACUGUUGUUUCCACUUCAUGCAUACAUUUUAUCACGUGCAGCACCAUGCCACAAGUAAUGAUAUAUGUCUUCAUAUAUCCCCUCUUUAUUUUCCUAUUUGGGGUGCAUAGUCAUGAAGAACAAGAAAAUCAGAAAAGUGUUUGAAGCAUUUCAUGUGAACACCUUACCUGACUGAUCACUCGAUUGCAAUGAGUACUGAGCCCUGAUAGCUUCUAACACAGUUGACACCUCUUUAGCAGAAUUACAAGCAAUCACAAACUGAGUUUCAAGAUCCUUAAUAACUUCUGACAUGCUUGUAGGCCUUCUAUUUACAUAAACAGUAAAUCCAGGUGUUUCUUCUUUUGCUUCAGGAUCAGCAACUGCUGUCUCCUUAUUGCUAAGUUGCCCUACAUUCUGUGUCUUUGCCACUGUUGUGGUUUGGUUGGGCUUAGAUAGUAAUUCUUGAAUAUAGGGAACAUUUUCAUGUUCAUCGUUGGUUUCUUCCUCAUCACUAUCAUCAUCAUCAUCGACAUCUUCCACCAUAACCUCAUCUUUAUCACAAUGGUGAGCUACUUUAGUCCUCUCCUCUUUCACAUCCUCCCCAUGAUCAGUUUCUUCAACCUCUGUUUCUUCUUCUAGUUCAGGAAUUCCUUCUUGCUCCCUAACUUGUCUUAGCCCGUCAUUGUCAUCAUCGAGAAUUGUUUGCUCGAAAUUAUUUCUCAUAGGAUAACCAUAAUAAUCUAGCGAAGAAAAUGGAUUCCAAAAAAAAUCCCACUGUGAUGAUGUUUGUGGUGAAGAGGGAGGCAAAUUAGGCCUGUUGUUGGGGGAAUAUUGGAAAAACGAAGAGUUCAUCGGUGAGGAUUGCAUAGAAAAGAAACCAUCCAUCCCAUAUUGAUGCACUGGGGAGUAUGCCUGGACUCUAACUGUUUCAGGUGACUGAGGUCUUUCUUCAACAGAAACAGCAGGAUUCCCACCUGACCUAAGAUAAUUUAUUUUUAUCGUCGAUUUGGGUUUUGGUUCAGACUUCAAGGGUGUUAUGGAAAAAGAUUUCGGUUCUAUAGAGAUAAAACCAGGACUUACUUUCUUAAUGGGUGUAAAAGGUGGAGUUUUAAAAGAAUCCAGCAAGAACUCACGAGGCUCAUCGACUUCAACAUAAUCUCGAAGGGCAGCAGAAACUCUUUCCAUGGCAUGAAUAUAAGCCAGCUGCCCGGAAGCAAACCGCAACCUUUGUUCCACUGCUUGUUUAAUGAACUUCUCUCGAUCUUUACAAAGCUGAACAGCCUCUUCAUCAUCCAACUUGGAUGAAGAACAUCCCAUUUCUCUCAAAUUAGCUUUUUCUCUCUUCUAAUCUUUACAGCCUAAGAAUUUUUCAGGCUUGAAUCGAAACAGGAAAGAAGAUUAAGUCCUCUUAAUAUGGUCACCAGAUUCAUAUGGAAACCAGCAAACUGCUCAAAACAAGAAAGUGAGUUUCAGAAGUUCCAUUUUCGGAGAGAAUCAUAAGAUAUAUAUAACCAACAAGAAAAGAAACAAAAAGUAAGCUAUUCAAUAUGCAUACAAUUAUUGUAAACAAUGACAGAUUUAGGUUCUUUGCCUUGUUAAUAAGCCAGAAGAAAAAAAAAAGGAAACUUGAAAGUACUUGCAACAGUGGUCUAAAGGAAUUGAAAUGCUUUCUCACCAAGAGAUCAAGAUACAACAACAACAAUACACCCAGUGUAAUCCCACAAGUGGAGUCUAGGAAUGGUAGUUUGUAUACAGACCUUACCCCUACCUACCUACCUUGGGAGGCAGAGAGGUUGUGUUUCCAAUAGACACUCGACUCACAAAAAUACUAGGAGUGAAGAAAGCAAGGCUACAAAACAAGGCACUCCAAGAGAUCAAGACCAUAUCAGGAAAUGUUGAAUUUUAUAAAAAGAAAAAAAAAUCAUAUAAACAAAAAUUGCCAUCAAUAAUUAAGAAAGAACAGAAUGGGACUGUUUAUAGAAUACCAAACUUAUGUAAGCAGUCUAUAAAAGGAUUAAAGCAAAAUUCCAACUAAACAAUCAAAAUACUCUAGCUAAGCUUUUGUAAAGCAAACUACACUUUACCCAUUAAUUCCAAGAAGUAAAAAUUCAGUUUGCAAUGUACCCUCACCGCAUUAAAGCAAAUAAAUAGCAGUUGGGUUUAUUAUAUUCAGGCUUUCAGCUAAUAAAUCACAAAAAUAAAACAAAACCAUUUCAACAUUUUCCAAAUCAGUCAUAACAAUCAACAAUCUAACACAGAAAUUUCAUCCAUUCACAUAAUAAACACUAAUUUUGGAGGUAAAAAGGCAGCCUGUUGUUCUCAUUAUGCGCCGCGUCCAGGAAAGGUAUAAACUAAAAAAUAUAUAUAUUACCAAAUCACCAAUAAAAAGAAAAAAAAAACGGAGCUCACACAAAAUUAAACUGAACUUCCUUUCAUGAUUUUCGCAUUUUCCUACCAAACGCACUUCACGAAUAACCAAAAUGAAGACAAAAGCAAGUGGUACUAAUCUGCAUGAAACUGUAUGUACCUGGCAAAAAAAUGGGCAAGUAAGAAGAACCCAAGUGGGAGUUUGAUCAGUGGAUGAUAAGUAUGUGACUGACUGUGUGAGAGAGAAAAGAAAAAAACAGAGAGACGUUGUGCUUGUGGGGAGAAUUAAGAGAGAGAAAACAACGGUCAAAACAGAUUUUAAAGUGAAGAAAAGCAAAGUCCCGUAAAAGAGGAAGGAGAAGAAUAGUAUUGUACUGCCACCGAAAAGCAAAUAUAAGGCAAAAGUAAAGAAUAUCAGGUUUCACAAUAUUCAUGCUUUUAUACUCAUUGCCAUUCAUCUUCUAUUUAUUUUCCCUAAUGCCACUAUUUUUUCCCCUACCCUUAUAUUUUGUCAUUACAUGUAAACUUUUAAACAACAACAAACCCUAUCUAAUUUCAUAAGUCGAAUAUGAAAAGGUCGGUAUAAUGUACACAAGUCUUAUCUCGACUUUAUAUAGAUAGGAAAAAAAACUUUGUAUAAAUAGAAAUAUUAUUUUCGAUGGAACCUUGACUCAGGAAUAAACAUUUCAAGGGCAGAUUAUUUGGAUAUCGCAAUUUGAUUGUACCUAUUAUAUUUUUUAUAUAUUUAUUCAUUUAGAUAUCUUUAAUGAAAAUAUUUCUAGUUUCAUACAUAAUUGAAGUUCAUAUAACUAAAUUCAUUCACGUAUGAUUGAAAUUCACGUUAAAGUAGCUAAAUUUUAUAAUAUGUGUCUGAAUUUGAGAUUUAAAUGAUUGAACUUUAGUCAUAUGAAACUACAUUCUUUGUUUGAAUUUAUUUAAAAAUGAAUAAACUUGUUAAAAAAAAUUACACCGCGUAUUUAACUUAAAUGGUGGUUCCUGAAUUGUCUAUAUGUGCACUUCAACCUCAUUAUGGUAGUAAAUGAACGAUUUGAUUUGAAUUUAAGCAGAUAAAAAUGAGUUGAAUCAACAAAUGAAAUACUUAUCAUUUAACCCUAUCUAAAGUUAUUGGUUAAGAUGGGAUGGAUGUACUGAUGUACCUGAUCAUAUGCUUUUGCUUGCUGGGCAUACUAUUCAUAUGCCUUUUGACACUUGGGAUUUUUUACUUUUCUUUCCCUUCUUUUUGGCUGUUCAUAAAAUCAUAAUAUUUUGUAUGAUUUUGUGUGUGUGUGUGUGUGUUUUUGGGGGGAGGGGGGUNNNNNNNNNNNNNNNNNNNNNGUGGGGGUGGGGGUGGGGGGACUUCUCUUCUAAUUUUCCAUCAAUUUUAUUUUUGUGUGUUUCCCCUCGAUUAUUUGAUUAAUAUUGGUUCUAUAGUGAUAAUUAAUUCAUCAGGUUAGUGUAUUUUUAGGGGUGGUUAGGUUUUGAAAUAUUUCGAAAUAAUGAUAAACAUGUGCAUAGGUAGUUGAUGUUUUCCAAAUAAUUGUAUUUUUUUUUUUGUUCCAAACAUCCUAAAUUUCUUAAUGAUACGUAAUUUCUGAAAUUGGGGAAUCAUUAAAAUAAGGCAAAGAAAAAAAUAAUAGAACAAGAACUAUAAAAGAAAAAUAAUUGGGAUAAUACCCACGAAAAUACCUGAACUUUAACCAAAUUUUCAGUGGAGCAUAUUGAACUUUGCGGAGGUUCUAUUACCCCUAUACUUUUUUAAUCGGAAUUAAUUCCCCCCCACCCCACCCCCUCGGACUUUUUUAAGGUGGAAUUGAUCCCUCAAAACGUAUACCCAGUUUUUUAGGUGGAAAGUGUGGUACACGCGCUUUGUCUUCUCCUUUUUAUCAAUUUUCAACAUUUUUGCACCAUUACAACCAUAUUAAAGAUUCUACAACUUAAAUUCAUUCUACAAAUCAAAUUCAAAAUAAUUUCAUUGAGUUAAUUUCAAAUUCCAAGUCCAUUCUUAUCACACAAGUUUCCAAAUUCAAUUUCUAGUUUCAAACUUUGAAUUCCUUUGAGUUUAAUCAAAAAAUUUCUUACACAUUAAUUUUCUUGCACAUUGAAUUUAUAUGAAUUCACUUGAAUUCCAAUUUAUGUAUAAAAAAACAUACAUUGAAUUUUCAAUAAUUGGAUGAAAUUUUCCAUUAAUUUUCUUCAUCCAGGUCCGUAAAAGUUUUCAAAUUCCAUUUUCAAAUUACGCCAACUCAAUUGAAUCUUCCAUUGAGUUUCAAAUUCCAAGUCCAUUCCAACACAAAUUUCUUGAAAACUUUCUUCAACAAACUUUUUUAAAUUCAAAACCCCAAACUUUCUUCCAUUGAGUUUCCAGUUUCGAUGAUGGAAUCUUCAAGAAUGAAAAUUGAAACGGAACGAAAUGGACUGCAACAAAGAGGAAGAAGAAACUGAAACUCAAGAANNNNNNNNNNNNNNNNNNNNNNNNNNNNNNNNNNNNNNNNNNNNNNNNNNNNNNNNNNNNNNNNNNNNNNNNNNNNNNNNNNNNNNNNNNNNNNNNNNNNNNNNNNNNNNNNNNNNNNNNNNNNNNNNNNNNNNNNNNNNNNNNNNNNNNNNNNNNNNNNNNNNNNNNNNNNNNNNNNNNNNNNNNNNNNNNNNNNNNNNNNNNNNNNNNNNNNNNNNNNNNNNNNNNNNNNNNNNNNNNNNNNNNNNNNNNNNAUCAAUUUCGAAUCAAUAACUUAAAACUUCUAUUGUAAAGCUCGAUAUAUAUGGACUGGUCAUUAUAGAACUGUUCUGAUGUUCUUAAGAAGGGUUAAUUUGGUAAAUAGCGAUGGCCCUCUAAUCUGCUUUUAUUCAUUUUCAUAAAUAGUGUUCCGAUACGUAAAAGAAAUGGAUAUUAAGUUAGUUUAUAAGGUCCAAUUCCAUAUUCGAUGUGAAUUCUUAACACUUCAUCGCACGUUCAGACCUCAAUUAUUGGAGCAUGGACCAGGGGCGGCUUUACCCUUUCGUAAAAAAAGGCAGUCGUUUUAUGCCCCCAAAUUUGAGAUGCCUCAUUUAUUUUUAGUAAUAAUAGAUUACAGAUUUUAAAAAACGUAUUAAUUACUAUUUGUAGAAAAAUAAUUUUUUUAGAUAAAAAAAAUUUAGAAGGUGUUUGAUAUAUCUAAUCUAGAGUACUAUGUCUCAAGAAAAAUUUAAUGCAUUGACUCUAUUAUUAAUUAAAAAAAAAUUAUUAGAAGAAAUCACUUAUAUUAUUUUAAAAGUAGACUAUAUAAAAACAAUUAAUUUUUAAAAAAAAAAUUAUGAUUUCCGUUUGAUUUUUGUGUUAGGCAACGGAUCUGCUUGAGCCUCCUCACAUGGACAAUAUAAUAUGAGGGUCUAAUAUCGGUGAACAAAGAAUUGGGAUGAACUUAGCAUUGUCGCCCUGUAAAAAAAAAUAGAUCUUGAAUUCUAAACUAUUUUCUCUGUUCCAAAUUACUCGUCCCAAAUUGAGAUGACACAUUGAUUAAGAAAAAUAAUCAAUAACAUGACUAGUUUAUCAUAGUACCCCUAUUAAAUGAUAUUUAUAUUUUAAUUUAAAGAAAAAGUAAUUAAUGCAAAGGGUAAAACAUGAAGAAAAAAAAUUGUCUCUUCUUGAUUAAUGAAAAAAGACAAGUAAGAUGAGAAAUUAAAUUAGAAAAUUUGAGACGAGUAAUUUGGGACGGAGGGAGUAGUUUAUAAGGUGAGGAUUGUUUUUAAGUCCACAAUCCACAUAGUUACCCACCUAUUUUCCUUAGUGGAACCAUUAAUACUAUAUAAACUUCUGGUUUAGUAUGACUUCAUUUUUUGAAAGGGCGAAGAAACAAUAGAAAAAACUGUUAACGAGGUGAGACUUUAUGUCACAUUUUCCUUUUUCUUUCAAAAAAGAAAAAAGAAAAAAGAAAAAACUCCAUUGUAGUGACUAGUGCAUAUUGGAAGGGAAGAAAGUAAAAAGCCAAAAAAAAAAAAAAAAAACGCCUAUAAGUUUGAAAUAAGUUGGAGUUUUGACUCCUACAAAGUACUUAAUUUACUUGUUUAUAUUAAGUUAUUAUUUUAUUUUUAUAUUGUUUUAUGAUAAAAAAGUUGGUUGUUGUAGGCACCUUGGAGGACUAGCUAGCUACUUAGCUAUGGACAUUCUUCAUUUAUUUAUAAUUUUUUUUAAGAAAAAACAAUACGUCAUCAUUUUCACUCCAUACUAUACAAGAAAAAUCUAAGUAACACUUAAAUUAUAUAAGUAACCUAUUACACAUCUUAACUAUAUAAAAGUGAUAUUAUUACCUCCCCGCGACCCCCAUUCGAAGGCGUAUGUGUUACACUUAUUUUAGACGCGUCCAGCCUAUUAAAUAACAAAAGUACACGACUAAAAACAUUAAGAAAAAAGGCAUCGUUUUCACCUCAAACUACAGUCGAAAAGUCGAAUCCACACCUAAACUAUAUAAGUGACCUAUUACACUCCUUAACUAUAAAAAAGUGAUACUUUUUAAUGACGUGGUGCUGACAUGACAGUGCGUGUAAAACACUACACCACAUGCAAGUGGUGAUAGCCUGACAGGGUGUAAAUAGUUUCACUUUUUUAUAGUUUAGGUGUGUAAUAGGUCACUAGUAUAGUUUAGGUGUGGCUUCAACUUUUCGGGUAUAGUUUGAGAUGAAAACAAUGUCUUUUCCCUUUUUUUUUCUCCAUUAAUUUCUAAUUCACUGAUUUUAAAUUCUAAUGUGAAAACUUCCCUAUUCUCUUCAUUCUUUUUUAAAUGCUUUCUUUCCUUUUUUAGAGUUAAAAAAUACAAGGUUUAACAAUAAUUUUGACAUUUAUUUUUUGAUUAUAUUGAAAAAAUUUACAAAUUAUAAUACUUUUUAUAUAAAUAUUAAUUUUAAGAUAUUAAAUAAAUCUAAUCUAAUUUAUCUUUAAAAAUCAAUCAAAUUAACGCACAAAGAAUAAAAGUAAAAACAAAAAUAAAAAUGAAGGGAGUACUUGUGAUUUAUACCAAGCCAAGUCCAAAUUAACUUUUUGGGAGGCUAAAAUAUCAAGUUAGUUUGGUAUCAAUUGAAAAUCUUCUCUCUCUCAAAAUAUUACGUUGUUAAUUUAGCAAUAAUAUAAGUAAUUCUAGAAAAGUCCUCAAAUAAUAAUAAAUGAAACUCUCAGAAGCUGUCAUUUUUAAAAAACGACCCUAAGCUCCUCAUUCACUAUUAUUACUUAUAUUUAUUUAAAAUUAACGUAAAAAAAAUACUAUACAUUACAAUAAUUAAUGUUAAAAUAUUUAAAAGUCGUGAUAAAAAAUUGAUUGCUUCUCAAUUUUUUUGCAGUGUUGCUUAAAUUGGGAUAACUAUUUAAAAAUAAUAUAAAAAAUGCUAUAAAUAAUAUUAAUUAACAACUUAAAAUAUUUAAAAGACAUACAAAAAAUAAGAAUGAGAGGAGCUUGGGAUCAACUUUCAAAAAUGAUAAAUAAGCUCCUCAAAGUCUCACUUAUAUCUUUUUGAUGAGCUUAGAGUCAGUCUGAAAAAUGAAUAAGAGUUACUGAGGAGCUUAGGAUCGUUUUUUAAAAAUGACAACUAAACUUCGCAAAGUUUCAUUUAUUAUUAUUUGAGAAUUUUUUUAGAAUUAAUUAUAUUUAUUUUAAAUUUUUGCAAAAAAUAUUAUAUAUUACAAUAAUUAAUUUUAAAAUAUUUAAAAGAUAUGAUAAAAAAAAUUGAUUGUUUAUUCUCAAAAAUUUUGUGAUGUUGCAUAAAUUGAGAUAAUUAUUUGAAUAAUGUUAAAAAUAUUAUAAAUAAUAAUAAUUAAUAACUUAAAAUAUUUAAAGGGCAUUACUCUAUAUAAUAAGAAUGAAUGAGAGAGGGAGUGAGCAACUUUCAGUCGUUCUGCUUGUCGACCGUUUAGCCGCUUGCUCCGUAAUUUUAUUAUAUCACCCUUAAUUAAUUAUUAUAUGUCAUCUACGUAUUAAAAAAUUAAUAAUAUUUAUUAAAAAGGUAAAAUAAACAUUCAUGACAUGUUUGUUUCAGCUGCUUCAACCAUAAUUUAACCACAUCACCCCUAAUCAAUUGUUAGAAGCUAUUUUAGUAUUAAAAUCAAUAUUAAAAAAUUAUCAUAGAAUCAUUUAAGUACUAAAAAAUUAAUAAUAUUUAAUGUUGAAUUAACUUGAUGUCUUAUAUGAGAUCCAUUUAAUUUUUUUCCACAAGUAUUUUCUUUUAAUAAUUUUGUUAUAUCAUUUCUAAUUAGUUACUAUAAGUCAUUUAAGACAUGUCUACUUCGUUGUUUCAAUUAUGGUUUUAUUAUAUCAUCCCUAAUUAAUUAUUAUGGUCAUCUAAGCAUUGUGUCAGUUAAAUUGGAAUAGAAGAAAAAAUAUUAUAAAUCACAAUAAUUAAAAAAUUAAAUUAUUUAAGAAAUAUAACUGAUUAUCAAUGUCAAUAAAUUUUGGACAGGGAGAAUAGCAUAUAUCAUUUGAAUAUUAAUAAAAAGUACUAUAAAUUAUAAUAGUUAACAACUUAAAAUAUCUAAAAAAAAUAUAUCAUAUAUUUUUUAAAAAUACUUAAGAAAUACUAUACAUCACAGUAAUUGACAACUUAAAAAAUUUAAAGGUUAAUCUGCCUACUUUGGCACAACUUCAUUGGUUUUUUUCCUUGCCUUCAUUUUUUUCAUCCAUUUUAAAUUGUUUUUCUUAUUUUUAAAAUUUGUUAUAUAUUUCAAAAAAAUAUGAAAAAAAUAUGCAAAUCACAAUAAUUAAUAAAAAAUUUUAAAGGUAUAAAAUAUUUGAUCAACUCUCGAAUUAUAUCAUUGGCACUUAAUUUGUAAUGAAAGAAAACGUAUUAUAAAUUAGAGUAAUUAUAAACGUAUUAUAACUCGUCAUAUCUUUAUUAUUCUGCUGAAGUUGGACCAAGUCUGAGACAACCUUGUAUAUGCAUUGUAUGUCAUUUGUAUACAGAGUCUUAGCUUUAGCCCAAACUUUAUAGCAAGUUUUACAAGAUUGAAAUAGAUUGAGUGAUUUAGGAUCCAAAGAGUUCCAUAAGAGAUUGCAUAAUUGAGCAUCAAUUUGAGUCCACUUAGUCCUUUCACUAGCAACAAUAUCACUAGUAUUUUCAAUUAAAUGGUCCUCAUAUCCUUGUCUCAGAAAUCACAUCUCAAUAGAUGAAGAUCAUGGUGUGUAGUUAUUACUACUUUUUAAUUUCAUGGUAGUAAUAACAUGAGAACUUGAAAUGGAGGACAACAUUGAUUUAACAUCACUUAAUUCAAUUUUCUCUGCUACAUCGGUUACUAGAGAUUCGCCUUUCUCUGCCAUUAUAGUUUGGACAGCAAAACGAAAUACCAAGAAAAAGGUUGGUUAAAAGACCUCGAAACAAAGGAAUGAGGAGAUCAAGGCUUCUCUUGAUGACUGCAGACCUGGUAGAAAAUUUUCAGAUCUAUAACUUUGCAGGAAGAAAAAAAAGCAGCUGAUGUAGAUCUGCUUUUGUUGGAAACUUUUCUGGUUGCUCAAAAUUAUAUGACUAAGACUAGAAUGAAUGAGGAAGAUGGAUGGAAAAGAGAAAAGAAAAAAAUGCCAGAAGUGGCUGCAAUUAAGAGAGCUUUGAUACCAUGUUAAUGAUGUAAGUGUAUUUCACUUGAUGCCUAAAAUGAUAGAUUACAUCAAUAAUAUAUACACAAAGCUAGAAACAAAAGGUCAAGAGUAGAUCCCUAAGAUCGUGCUUCUUCCUACAAUAAUUGAAAUCUGAAAAAUACAGUUAUAUCCUUGACGUUUACUACCUGCCAUAUCUUGAUAUUUACUACUAUAUGUUGACAUUUACUACCUGUCAUAUCUUGAUAUUUACUAUCAUAUCUUGACAUUAAUAAAAUUAAAAUUUUGUAAUAAUUAAAAAUAUUUUAAUAAACUUACUCGUUACGAUUCAGUACCAUACUAUCAAAUCAAGUAAAAAAAAUUAUUAUUAAUCAGCAAUCAGGACAAACCACUAUCCAAACUGAAUGUAAGUAUACUAGUUUUAAAUUUAUUAAUUUUGACACAAACAUAGCACUAGAGGACCCCUAUUGCUGCGAAGUGCUAACAUUUCAUUUGCCAGUAACGUACUACCAAAAACAAACAAAACAAAGAAAAAGGCUAAGAAAUAAAAGAUGGCAGACAGUGAGGCAAUAAUCUGGUGCCGGAGUAGAGGAAUCAUAUUCCUCUUCAUUCCUGCGAAACUAAAAUUUAAAGUUUAUGAAUUUUAAAUUUAGAUAAAAAAAAAAUAAUGUUGCUAGUGAGUUGCGACCCACAAUCAGAAGGAAUAAAAGGUUCUGCAGGAUGUGCUGGUAUGUUGGGCUGCAAUCAUCUCUUGUAUCGUGGGUUCACAUGCAAUCAAUUAAUAUGUUUCUUUUUUAUUUUUCAGUAUAAAUAUAGAAUCUAACCUAAAGUUACUGGGUCCUUAUAACACUGUAGCUCUGCUCCUACAUUCCUGCAUUUACCAUAGGUGGCAUCGAUGAGGGUCAUUGUAAAGCGGAACGAGUUUUUCUUCACUCUCGAUCAGAGAUUUUAAAUUCGAGUCUGAUUUGAUAAAUAAUUAACUUUGUUAAGAAGCUUUUUUACCUUAAAGAAACAUUGGCGGUACUCAUGCACAACCCCUUUUCAUAGUAUGAACUAAACUUCUACUUUCAGAAUUUUCGCUUUCUUUAAUUGAUUCGUAUUGUGUUUACUAUAUAUUUUAAAAUGUUGUUUUCUUUAAGAAACAAACGUGGUCGAUCUCUACUGCCCCUUAAUGCUUAUGACAUAGGAUAGCAAUUUCUCUUUAUAAAAUUAAUUGCCAAAAUUAUAAUCCUAUACUCCAAUUUUGAAGAUAAAAUUAAUUGCCAAAAUUUACAUUUAAACACUAACGAUUAGUUUGGUAGGAGAAAUAAGAGAUAGUUAAUUUUGAGAUUAAUUUUAGGAUGGGCUUAUAUCAUAUUUGGUUGGGAUAAAAUGCAUGGAAUAACUCAUUUUGGGAUUAGUUAUUUUGAAAUUAUAGUAUUAUUUUUAUUCCUUUUUUAAGAUGGAUAUCUCAGCAUAGCCAACCCGAAAUAGUUAAUUCUAGGAUAACUAUUUUCCCAACCAAACGGCCCCUAAGAAGUCGUUUGGUAGAGUGUAUUAAAAGAAAUGAUGUUUGUAUUAGCUUGUGUAUUAUUAAUAUCUUGUUUGGUACACUUUUCAUCCUAUAUAUUACUAAUGUUAGCAUUAGUUCACUCUAUUUGGUAUUAAGGAGUGUAUUAUCAAUGCAUGAAAAUCCAUGAUACUAGUAAUGCAAUUGAAUCCAAUUCAUGUAUUAGUAUGAUUAAAGUUAUAAUUGUCCUUCAAAAUCUUUUCUACUUCCUUUCCACUAUAUUUGUGGAGGAUAUUUUUGUAAAAAUUUAUUAUUUUAAAAUAAAAUUAUGCAAUUCAUGUUAGUUUUAAUACACUAAACCAAACACUACAUAAGAAAAAUACAAAUAUAACUAACACAAAUAUCACUAAUAUAAAUAUUACUAUAAAAUAUUUUACAUUAUAGUUAUAGACGGUAACAAACUACCCCUAAGUAAUUAUGUUGUGAUGAUUGAUUGAGGAAAGAACCAAAAGAUAACAUCUCACAGUUUAUAAGUGAUGAAAAAAAAUCAUGUACUUGCUAUCAAUUGAUUGGUGGUCACUUUUCAAGUUGCUAGCCAGAUUAAAAAGAUAACAUGCAUUUUGUGCCUCUCCUGUAAAACAAGAUUAAAAUAUUAUUUAUAAGCCAAUCCAUCAGUAAAUUUAAGUAAACAAAAUAUAUAACAAAGGUAACCUUUUCCUUUUUCGCAAUCAAUGAUGAUUAUAAAGAAAGUAUUUUGCAAUUUGCUUAGUAAGAUAACUACAAGGACUCCACAACUAUUAAAAACGAUUGAAAUUGGAAAAUAUAAUCCACUUGUUCAAAACUAUAGCAUACAUAUAAUCAAAUAAGAAAGAUCUCUUUUCAACUAUAAAAAGCAUACUUGAAUGUUAAUUUAUGUGAUAUUAAUAAAUUUUUGAGAGUUAAUUAAAUUUUUUGAAUGAUUUUAAAAUAUUUAAGUUAUUAAUUAUCGUAAUUUGUAUUACUUUUAUAUAUUUUCAGAUAAUAUAUGCUACUCCGUUUAUUUCAAUAUAUGUGACAAUGAAUUUAGAGAGCCAACCGUAUUUUUAUGUAUGAUUUCUACAUAUUUUUUGUAAUUUAUAGUACUUUCUACUAGUUUUCAAAUAAUAUAUGCUAUUUCAUUUGUCCCAAUUUAUUUGAAUGAUAGUAUUUGGUGAAUCAAUCAAAUUUUUUACAUGUCGUUAAAUAUUUUAAGCAGUUAAUAAUUAGUAUUUUGAUACUUUUUAUGUCAUUUUCAAACAAUAUAUGUUACUUUCUCUGUCCUAAUUCAUGUGGUACUGAUAAAAUUUUGAAAGUCAAUCAAAUUUUUUAUAUAUCUUUCGAAUAAUUUAAGCGGUUAACUAUGUAAUUUAUAAUAAUUUUCAUGCAAUUAUUAAAUACAUAUCAUAUUAAAAAAAAAAAAACAGGACAAACAAAUUAAAACGGUGAAAAUAAAAAAAUUACAAAAAAGAGGAAGCUGACAGGACAAUAAUGGCAUGUCUGCUUUACCGCUCUUAUACAGUAUUACUAGACAUAAGAGCCCAUACAAGCACGGAUCCAACAUAUGCUAUUUUUUGAUCUAAAAUUAUGUGAUACAGAUAAAUUUUGAAGAGUCAAUCAAAUUUUUUGUACGGUUUUUAAAUAAUUUAAAUUUUUAAUGAUAUACAAUACUUUUUAUAUAAUUUUUAGACAAUACAUGUUAGUUUCAUUGUUGGAAUUUAUGUGCUAGUGAUGUAAUUUAGAGAGUCAAUCAAUUUUUUAUAUAAUUUUUAAAUGUUUGUAUAGUUUUUGAAUAUUUUAAGUUGUUAAUUAUUGUAAUUUCUAAUAUUUUUACAUAAUUUUUAGAUAAUAUAUGUUUCUCUCUGUCUCAAUUUAUGUGACACUGAUGAAAUUUAGAGAGUCAGCAAAAAAUUUUACAUAUAAUUUUACAUAUUUUAAGUUGUUAAUUAUGGUGAUUUAUAAUAUUUUUCGCUAUUUUUAAAUAAUACGUGCUACUCCUAUUCCAAUUUAUGUGAUUGUGAAAGAUUUGAAAAAUCAACUAAAUUUUUUAUAUUUCGAUAAUUUUUUAAGUUGUUAAUUAUUGUGAUUUAUGAUUUUUUAUGUUAUUUUUAAAUAAUAUAUGUUAUUUUCUCUGUCCCAAUUUAUGUGGCUAAUAAAAUUUUGAGGGUCAACAAACUUUUUUAUUUCCUUCAAAUAUCUUAAAUUGUUAAUUAUUUUAAUUUUUAGUAACUUUUAAGUAAUUUGUAAAUACAUAACAGAUAAAAAUAAGAAUAAUAAAAUAAACAAAAAAAUAAUAAUACAUAAAAGUUGGACUUUAUCGAUAAACUAGGAGAACAACGUUAAACUGCUUCUCAAAUCACUUAUAUAGUACUACUAAUUAGUAAUAUUAGUAAAAUAGAAAAAUGACAUUACUUUUCAGUUUCUUCAUCUUAUUAUGUUUCACACUUUUUAUUGUAGAAGUUGGAACACGAUGUUUGGAAACGGAUUGCUUAGUUGCAGUUAGGUUUAUCAAUGACAAGAACAUACACUUAUGAAUACUUAUUAAAGAUUGCAAAUAUGUACUCCCUCCGUCUCAAAUUACUCGUUUCAAAUUAAGAUAACACAUUAAUUAAGAAAAAUAAUUAAUAAUAUGGUUAGUUUAUCAUAGUACCCCUAUUAUCCUCAUGCCUUCCUAAUUUUCAGUUGUUUAUGUGCAUACAUUAUCUUGCUUAUUUCUCUUAGAUAAUGUAAAUUGAGCAAUUGUUGCUGCUUUUCUGUUUUGGUAUUGUUUAACGAUUUAAUGUUGUGUAUUAUUGUGCAUAAAAGAAAAGAAAUAUAUAUUUACGACAGGUGAAACGAAAAUUCAAAAAAUUUUCAUGUUUUCGUGCGAUUGAACACAUUGAGAUUCAACAAGGUCAGUAGCUUAACUUUUUUGAACUAUUUUGUGAGAAUUAUAUUUGAGUUAAUAUUUGCAUUUUGCAAGAUUUUGGUGUUCUUAACGAAGAAAAGUUAAACCACAUUAGGUAACACCAUGUCUAAUACAACAACAGAAAAAGUUCAACAAAAACAUCUUCCUGAUUAUCCUAAGUAAACUGGAAACAUUCCAGUUUGUGCUCAACUACAAGAAAGUAAAUUCGGGUAGAUUAAAAAUACAAACGAUUUUUUCUGUGAACCUUUUCAAUUGGAACUCAGUUCAGAAGAAGGCCAUGUUGCCAUAAUACACUCUUGGGUUUUAGCCGUUUGGACGUUGCUAUUGUCUCUCACUUAAACUGGUGCUCUCUGUUUUUUCAUUUUCAUUUUGGAUGGGCGAUCCAUUUUCAAUUUCAUCUUUUCUAUAGUUUCAGCAAAUUGCUGCAUACUUUUAUUAUAUAUAUCAACUAUGUCUCGCUGCACAAGCUUUUUCUCUGGUGCAAUGUUUCAAGUUAACAACUGGCAAUGUGAAUGUGCUAUCAACUGCUUUGGCACUGUCUUUACUAUCCUUCAGAGGCAGUGCAGAUUCCUAGCUACUUCACUACCUUCAUCGUAACCAUUUGCUGCAGACAAAGAAUGGACUUAUAUGUCAGUGUCAAUUGCACAAAAUUUGAAGGAGAAUGAAAGAGAUCACUCGAGGACAAAGUGAAUUCUUGUUCUAGCUUUCCAUUCUCAGCAAGAACAUCACAAAGAGGGACUAGAGUAAAUCUCAACAACUGGUCUUGCAAAUAAUUCUUGACCCUACUCAUCAUCCAUAUCUCACACCUCGCCGAUGUUUCAACAGUCUCAACAUUGAGUCGAACUCUCUGAUCAAAAACUGAAUUUUAUGGCUGAACAUACUUGAGAAAUAAAUUGCUUUAAAUGCAGUGGGUUGCUGCUAACAAUUAUUGAGAUUAAAUUUAUCAAGCUGCUAUUGUAGUGGUCGCAUAUGAGUUUCUUUUGUAACCUAAUAUUAUUGCUUAAGAUUUUUAUUUUUUUUUUAAAAAAAGUGAAAAUUUUGACAUUUUAAAAAAAUAAAAGAGUAAGAAAGAAAAAUAUUUCAUUAAAGAAGAUAAAAGAGGGAAAAGGUAAAAUUUCACCGGUUACAUUAAAUAUUCUGAAAAUCCAAUAUAUUUGAAUUUAAAGAUUAAAUCUUUUUUUUUUUUUUCAUAGAGUGAUUUUUCAUUACUUCUAAUAUUUGUAUAUGAAAGAGUAUUAUUUGUAGGCUUAUCAAAAUGAAUUAUUCCCACGCGCGAAGCGUGGGUUUGUUACCUAGUAUAUAUAUAUAAAGGAGGAUCAUAGAUAUGUCUAUGUGCACCUCUCUUUGGCCAAGAAUUCUAUUUAUCUUUGGAGUUUUUCUUUCAUUUUUUUCAAUUAUUUUAUUUUUAAAAAAUUAUUUUCAUAACUCACAUCUCUUUAUGUUCAUAACAAAUUAUACUCUUAAUUAAUAUUAAUAAAAUUUAUAACUCUAAAACCUUUUAUAUUCAUAACCUCCAAUUAUUUAAUUUUGCAUUAAAAAAUCUACUGACAAUUGUUUCUUUAAAUAGUGUGAAACAAUGAUAAUUAUUUCUUAUAGGGUAUGUGCAUUAUGAAAAUCACUCUUCUAAGAUUUGUUAUUUUUUUAGAGUAGAUUUCUUUUAUGCUAUGCAUAGUUUAUUAAUAAACUUCGUACAUUUUUAUAUUUUUUUAAAGAGUUAUGUAUUACUUUAUUAGAGCAAUUUUUUUUAUGUUAUGUGCCCAUUAAUUAAUUUUUUGCAAUCUUGUAUUUCUCUUUAUCUUAAUCUCAUUAAAAAUUUUAUUGUAGAUGAAAAAAAGAUAACUAUCAUGACAAUUUUUUUGGUCCUCAUCUCACUAUAGAUAUGAGACAUAGCAUAUAGCAACAAAAAAAGAGUCUCAUUGGCCAAGAUAUAGCUCAAAGUGCAAUAUUUUUAGUAUUUUUGAUUUAUUAAAUUUCAUCUUCAACUGCUCUUAGCACUUUUAGUUAACAAUUUAGUUGUCUUUUUUUUUCGUUUCAUGCAAUACUUAAUUUUUUUUUUGUUCUUUUAAGGCUCGAUUGACAUACAAAUGAAGUAGGAUAAUGAGAUGACAAGAAUCUAACUAUUACUGUUUAAAAUUCUUUUGAGAGAAAUUAUAUUUAUAUGUGUGUGAUAGUUCUUCUUUCCUCUCCAAUUCACAAUAUAACAUUUUAAAAAGUUUGUAUUAAUUUAUUUAACUAUUUUUUUGAUUUUUUUCGUUGGUGAUGUCAACUUUUUAUGUGCGUCUUAGACUAGAGUGUUUAUUUUCUAAAGUAAAAGUAAAGGAAGAAGGCAAACGUAUGUGUGUGUUACUUAAGAAAGUAUCUAUGGAUCCAUCCGCAAUUAUGUACAUCAACUUUGGUAAAUCUUUUGAUAAAAUAUGAGAAUGUAACAUUAGUUUAUACUAAUUUUUAAAUGACAUUUUAAUUCAUAAGAAAGUUAUUUAUUGAUUCGUUGAAUUCUAGCUUUUUUAUUUUCACAUUUUAUAGUUUAAAGAGAAAUGAAAAGGAUAAAAUAAGAUUAAAAAAAUAUGAAAUUCAUAUAAUUAGAUUUAUGUUAUACAUAUAAAUAAUAAACAAGUUUAAAAUUUACUAAAACUAGGCAUAUAAAGGAGAAAUAUAAAGGAGGUGAUGUGACACCUCUCUAUGACCUCCAUUGACAUUUAUCUUUUUUUUUACCUCUUUUUGGAGUUUUUUUCAUAAUUUAAUCUAAUAAAAUUUAAUAUUUAUUACAUAAUUAUAUCAUCUUAAUUACUCAAAUCUUUUUCAAUUUUUUUUUGGGUCAAUUUUUUAGUUUUAGAAGUGUAAAAGCCAUUGUCAUUAAUUUAUUUAUGAAGGCAAUUUUGGGACCUCUUUUCAUCUCUGGAAUAGUUUCCUGAGCAUACUAUCUUUUCUUUUUCUCUACUUUUUUUUAAAAAAAAAUGAAAUUACUGUUUCACUUAUAGAAUAUAUUAUAUAAAAAUUAAAUUUUUAGAAGAUUAAAAAUAUGUAAGUGAUAAAAAAUCACAUAAAAAUAUAUUUAUAUACUUAAGAGCGUAUAUAAUUGGUUAGAAUUUGAAAUGAUUGAAAACUAAAAAGAUUUUUUAAAUUUCUUGCACUCGAAAAUCUAAUUAAUCUGCGCAAAGCACAAAUAAGUUAACUAGUUUUUAAUAUAAAUAAAUAGUAUUUUAACUCGCGGGCUAAGCCAGCCCAGCCUCAAUCAAGCCUCAAGGACCAGCGGACUAACUUGGGUUGAACUUAUAUACCCUAAUUUUAAAUGGGCUCAAAAAUUACAACCUAACCCAAUCUUUAUAACAGGCUAGGUUGGUUCGGCCUCAAGGGCAAAAUCCAUUUUGACAGCUCUAGAAAGAGAUAUUAGAAGGAUGUAGUCAUAAAGAGAAUUUAGUAUUCCGAAAUAAUGUCAUUAAGGACAUAGAGAGUUUCUCCUUGGGAAUUUAAGUCAAGUUUAAUUUAAUUUAAUGUCCUUAGUUUGUUUAUUCCAUUGUACCAAAAAAAAUUUCUUUAAGUUUUAACAAUAAAAUUAAUGAAAUUUAGAAUUUGAUAUUAUAUAUUUGUAAAUCAGUCUAAUCUCUUAACAAGUGUAAUACAUUUGUUUGCUAGUACUAAUUAAUAUAGUCAAAUUAACAUCUUUAAAAUCUAAUCUCCAAUAAAAUGAAAUCACGUAUUGAAAAAUUGAUAGGAACAUUAUCAUAACUUACUCCUAAAAAGAAAGAAAAUUGUUGUGAAGAAAACAAAAAGACAGCAGCCCAGAAAGCAAAAAAGAUAAAGCAUAAACAGCUUUAAUUAAUACUACCCACCAGAUACCUAUUCCCUCGAAAAUUGUUGUGAUGGAAAUGCCACUGUUUUAUGUACAAAAUUUCAAUAAUGCCAUUGCCUCAAGAUGAUGAUCCAUUUUGAAAUUUAAUUACUCCAUCAUUAGUUCUAAAUUAUAUACGUUAGUUAAUAAUUUCCAUUUUGACGAAGUUAUGGGACAAAAAUAAAGUCGCUAAUAUGGAAAACAUAGUCGUACAAUGUUUCCACUUACUCAUGUUCCAAGAUAAUUGCCUCUCUUAUUCUACCAUUGUGGACAUAACCUUCUUUUUCUUUUUUAAUUUACCAUCUUUAAUUCAUAUCGGUCUUUUAAAGAUUUUAUACGUUCCUAAGAACAAUUAUAGUACUAUAUAUUACUGUUAGGAGGGCCAGUGGCGGAGUAAUCUCUGCUUGAGGGGUAUCGAAAGAUACUCCUUUAUUAAAAAUUAUAUUAUAUAGAUAAAUGAAAUUUGAGGUUGUAGAUACAAAUAUUAAUAUUGAUGCCUCCUAACACAAGUUGAACGUUUAGUACAGUAGUUAUGGUGUUGCAUACCAGCUAGCAAUAUAAUUAUAAUUAAACAAAUUAUAUUUGCAAUAGUUAUUAGGAAAACAAAUAACCCAAGUUUGAAAACUUUUCAAAAAGUGGUCGGAUAUAUUAUUUUCGCUUUAUAGGCUUUUCUUAAUUUGGAUCACUUUAGCCUAUGUACUUCAUAUACGAUUCAUAUACAAUACUGAUACAGUCUAUAUACAAUACUGAUACAGUAUUCAGCUUGGACAAUUCCUCCCUUUUAAAAAUAUUUCAAUUUUUUUUUUACCAUAAAUUUUUUAACUGAUCAAAUAUUCUGUUUUUUUUUAAUUGUUUAGAAAUAAUAAUUAAAUUAUAUAAAAACGAUAUAAUUGUUAAAUAGAAUAUGUAUCUAUAUAAGAUAUAUGUAUAGAAAUUGUAUAGUUCUAUCAAAUAUGUAUAUGUAUAAAAAAUAUAUAGAAAGUGUAUGAAAAUUAUAUAAUUGUUGUAUGAAAUGUGUAAAAAAAAGUACAGUUAUUGUAUAAAUUGUGUAUCAAAACUAUAUAAUUUUCAUAUAGAAUAUUUAUAUGUAUAAGAUAUGUAAAGAAAUUGUAUAGAAGGUGUGUAAAAAUGAUAUAAAACAAGCCACUAAAUUGAAAAGACUCAAAGUAAAAUUUAAAUUUAUGACCAUUUUCAUGAAAAUAGUUUAAUUUAAAGUGUCGUUUCUGUGAUUUCUCUUAUUUAUUAUUGUGACAUUAAGCAACUACAUCUGCACUAAUUACAUUAAAUAAACUAUAUCUGCACUAAUUACAUUAAAUAAAUUAUAUCUGCAAUAGUUAUUUACUUUUACAAGAUUCAAUUUUUGGCAAGUUUAACUAAUCUGAUCAACUCUUGGGAAGGACAAAAUAUUGCAUUAUUAAAAAUUGAAUUUCUCCUAUUGCCACACAAUUUAAUAUUUUAGGGAUUGUUGGUGUGAGGUAUAAAAGUAAAUAAUUUUGGGAUUAAAAUGAUAAUUUUGAGAUAAAAAAUUUAAUGCAUAUUUGGUUGGUAAUAUUUGGGAUAAUUUAUUUCAAGACAAAUAAAUAAUACCGGGAUAAGUUAUCUAUACAUUUGGUGGGAUAACAAUCCCACUAUUAUAUAUUCUUGGGAUAAAAUUAGAAAAGGAUAUAAUUACCUCCGAACCCUUUGUCUCACAUACUAGAAAAUAUCUAGGAUUUUACUGCUUAUUGAGACAAAUGCAUAUAAUUAAAAGAAAUGAUAUAUUUUAUUUGUUAACUUAACUACUUAAUAAAUGAAUGGGAACACAUGUAAAGAAAAAAAAAUUGAAUGAAAAAUGUAUAAUUGAAACACUUUAUCAACAAUUGAGGUAUAAAAUUAAGUGAAUUGCUUAUUUUUGUCUUGUAAAAUGUGUUACUUUUUCUGAAAAAAAA
rnacentral:lncRNA from 1 species